GGAGGGGUGGCCGAGUGGUCUAUGGCGGCGGUCUUGAAAACCGUUGAACGAAAGUUCCGGGGGUUCGAAUCCCUUCCCCUCCGCCA
rnacentral:tRNA from 1 species